GACGAACGCUGGCGGCGUGCUUAACACAUGCAAGUCGAACGGAAAGGCCCUGCUUUUGUGGGGUGCUCGAGUGGCGAACGGGUGAGUAACACGUGAGUAACCUGCCCUUGACUUUGGGAUAACUUCAGGAAACUGGGGCUAAUACCGGAUAGGAGCUCCUGCUGCAUGGUGGGGGUUGGAAAGUUUCGGCGGUUGGGGAUGGACUCGCGGCUUAUCAGCUUGUUGGUGGGGUAGUGGCUUACCAAGGCUUUGACGGGUAGCCGGCCUGAGAGGGUGACCGGCCACAUUGGGACUGAGGUACGGCCCAGACUCCUACGGGAGGCAGCAGUCGGGAAUAUUGCCCAAUGGGCGGAAGCCUGAUGCAGCAACGCCGCGUGCGGGAUGACGGCCUUCGGGUUGUAAACCGCUUUCGCCUGUGACGAAGCGUGAGUGACGGUAAUGGGUAAAGAAUCACCGGCUAACUACGUG
rnacentral:rRNA from 1 species